rnacentral:lncRNA from 1 species
GUUUUUGCAUUUUCUCCGACACUCUGAAAGAUACAUAUAAAAGAACAAGUGCAAAAUGUCUGCUUUAUUGUAAUGAAGAUAUGCUACAUUUAGCCUGCUACAAUUAAAUGGCAUCUUAUAGGAGUUGGUGCCCCUGAAAUGUCUUGAUAUGAGGUUAUUUGAUUAUAACUUCAACUAAGUUCAUUAUAAAGGCAUUUGACCUUGUAUAAAAGGUUAG